rnacentral:tRNA from 2 species
UGCCGAGUGGACGACAUGGAAAGUCGCUGUGACUCUGAAUCACGGAGAUGCUGGUUCGACCCCAGCCUCGGCAUCCA